UUCAUUCUGGAGAAAUUUCAGAUUAGGGUUUAUCUGUUUGGGAGAUUGGCAAUUUAUCCUUGCUCCGACUGUUGAUUUACAGAAGCAACGUUUCCAAUCAGAUUUGGACAAGUUGUAGAGGACUCUGAUUCGAGACCGUAUCUCGACGGGUAUCUUGAUUCCCGGAUUGGACCAUUUUAUCGGAGGCGGGUACUUUGACUUAUGUCUUUUGAUAUGCAUAAUAAAGUGUUUAACAUAUAGCAAUGAUUGUGUUAUCCUUUUGAUUCGGUUGGUC